GGCUUGGUGGUCUAGUGGUAUGAUUCUCGCUUAGGGUGCGAGAGGUCCCGGGUUCAAUUCCCGGCCAAGCCC
rnacentral:tRNA from 1 species